GUCAGACACAUAUGUGAAUUUGGUGUUAAAAAUGGGAAUAAAUAAUUUAAUCGUUAAAAAGGAAAAGAAAGUAAACGUCGAGGAAUGGGAUUUUCUUAAGACACCUGUUAGAAACUGAUGCGACUAACAAAACACGUGAGUCGACUCUUACUUAUCCACCUCUUUUGCUACUCUUUAAACUCAAGGAGAAACUCUUGUAAGUAGUAUACUAGCAUAGUAGUUGAAUUUUUUGUUGUUGUCCGACUAGUUUCUAAUCCCAAAAAAGGGAAAGAAAAGAAGAUGAAAAUCGAAGAAAAGAAGCGAUAAAGUUUAAUCAGACUACGGGAGUACUUAUAUUUACGGAUUUAUUUUGUAGUUCAUCGAUGAAUCACGGGCCGUCUUUUCGAUCUUUCUUAUCGUAGUAGGGUUUCUCAUUGAAAAGAAUUUCUUUCAAUAAGGAAUAGAAAAGAUCGUUGAAUUCAGAUAUUUCUCGUAUACGUUAGUAUGAAUCCUAGAAAACUAACGGGUACCGUGUCCUUUCUUUUUUUAUUUAUCGUUUUUGAAUAUAGAAUUUUUAUAAUAUAACGUUGGCGAUAGAUCUAAU